ACUGAGGAAAGUCCGGGCUUCGCAGGGCAGGAUGCCGGAUAACGUCCGGUGGAGGUGACUCCCAGGCCAGUGCAACAGAAAUAUACCGCCGGCAGGGCUUAUGUCCUGCCGGUAAGGGUGAAAAGGCAGUGUAAGAGACUACCGUCUUUGUGGUAACACAAAGAGCCAUGUAAACCCCAUCCGAAGCAAGACCAAGACGAGGACUAUGGGCCGGCCCGGUCCGUUCUCAGGUAGGUCGCUGGAGGCUGUCGGUAACGGCAGUCCAAGAUAGAUGAUCAUCCAAGACAGAACCCGGCUUACAGCUCUGCUUAU
rnacentral:RNase_P_RNA from 1 species